CGGGAAGCAGAUGGCACCAGCUAGGGGUUCCAGAGAAGGCAGUCUAAUGAAGAGACCAUUCGUAUACAUACAGACUUGUGAGCAGAGCUGAGGGAGCCAGCACAGGAUGAUGUAGGAUCCAGGGAUCCACACCAGUGGGGAGGCCUUACCACCUGGAGCACCAAGGGAAGCCACCCAGAUGCUCAGCACAUACAACAGUCGGUCAAAGAAGCCCCACGGAACGACCCACAUCGUAGACGUCACACAAAAGGCCUCGUCGGCCAUCAACCUCCAUCUGUCUUCGAAUAAUGUGAUGGUGAAACAGUUUCUUCUGUGGUUCCAAGGACCUUGAGGCCAUCUCUGUCCCAGGGGAGGCCCAUGUGCCCAACUCCCAUCCUCAACCACCCGUUCUGAGAGCUCUGAACAGAAGAUGGCACAACAGAGUCCUUGGCAGCCUUCUCUCUGAGGUUCUUCAUUUUUCAGUCAAGAGUCAGAAGGUGGUUGGAAUCAUCUUAAAGACCUCCUCACUCUCUCAUGUCUGGUGAUUGAUGCAGACUAUUGGCUGAGACCUUAGCUGGAGCUGUCUGUUGGGACACCUGUACGUGACCUCUCCGUGUGGCCUGGGCUUCCUCACAACAUUGCGGCUGGGUUCCAAGAGCAAGCAUCCCAAGAAGCAGAGAAAGGCAGAGGGAGAUCCCAAACCCAGACAUCUGGAGGAGAUCACACGGAGAUGGGGGCAGAGACUGAAGUGACGUGGCCACCAGCCAAGGAACAUCUGGAACCUCCAGAAGGUGAAAGUGUCGAGGGAAGAUCCCCAUGUAAAGCUUUUGUACAGAACGUGGCCCUUGCCUCUCCUUGGUUUUAGACUCUGGACUCCACAACCGGGAAAGAAUAAAUUCCUGUCAUUUUAAUCCA